rnacentral:rRNA from 1 species
UCUUUUUGUUAAUAAUUUUAAAGUCUGACCUGCCCCCUGUAAUAAUAAAUGGCCGCAGUAUUUUGACUGUGCUAAGGUAGCAUAAUCAUUAGUUUUUUAAUUGAAAGCUGGAAUGAAGGGUUGAAUGAAAAAAUUUCUUUUUUAAUUAAAAAAUUAAAAUUUUAUUUUUAAGUUAAAAAGCUUAAAUUAUCAUUAAAGACGAGAAGACCCUAUAGAGUUUAAUUUUUAUAUUUUAAAUUUAAUAUAGUAUUUAAUUUAAUUUAUUUGUAUAAAAAUUUAAUUGGGGUGAUUUUAAAAUAUAAUAAACUUUUUUUAUAUUAGUAUAUUUUUUAAUAGAUAUAUGAUCCUAAUUUUUAGAUUAUAAGAAAAAAUUACCUUAGGGAUAACAGCGUAAUUUUAUUAAAGAGUUCAUAUCGAAAAUAAAGAUUGCGACCUCGAUGUUGGAUUAAA